AGCAAAUAGAUACCCGGGUAGUCCACGCCGUAAACGAUGGAUACUAGCUGUUCGGAGCAAUCUGAGUGGCUAGGCGAAAAAGUGAUAAGUAUCCCACCUGGGGAGUACGCACGCAAGUGUGAAACUCAAAGGAAUUGACGGGGGCCGCACAAGCGGUGGAGCAUGUGGUUUAAUUCGAUGAUACGCGAGGAACCUUACCAGGGCUUAAAUGUAGAUUGACAGGACUGGAAACAGUUUUUCUUCGGACAAUUUACAAGGUGCUGCAUGGUUGUCGUCAGCUCGUGCCGUGAGGUGUCAGGUCAAGUCCUAUAACAAGCGCAACCCCUGUCGUUAGUUGCCAGCGAGUCAUGUCGGGAACUCUAACGAGACUGCCAGUGUAAACUGUGAGGAAGGUGGGGAUGACGUCAAAUCAUCACGGCCCUUACGUCCUGGGCCACACACGUGCUACAAUGGUAGGUACAGAGAGCAGCCACUGCGCGAGCAGGAGCGAAUCUACAAAACCUAUCUCAGUUCGGAUCGGA
rnacentral:rRNA from 1 species